CACACCAGCAGUUGCACAACGCUGCUCGCCUCACGCCCCCGACACCCCUUCCUCUCCCUCGCGUCUCUUCUCGGACCCAUCCGCCAUCGCCGUCGCCCUUCUCCACCAUUGUCGUUGCUGUUGCCGCCACCGCCCUCCUCCUCCUCCUCCGCCACUUCCGUUCUUCUACCCUAGAUUUCUGCGCAUGAGUACCUCCCUGCCAGUCAUGGAUCUGGCAGUGCAGGCUGUGGGGGGAGUGAGUUGUGUCCCCAUCGUGGGUGCCAUGGCUUGCUUGGGGAGCCUUCGUGGAUCUGGGCGACAUCAAGGUGUCCCCCGCUCUUUGCCCCAACUCCUCGGAUCGGCUUCCUGUACAGGCGGAGAGAUCCAGCAUGGUGUCAGACGCUUGUGGUGAUGACGUGCCUUCUUCGUCUUCGGUAAGCUCGACAGGCUUGCCAAGCCAUGCAUCCUCUCUCACGGUGAGUGCUCCCCUUUGUCCAUAUUUGUACUAAUUUAGAGUUAAAGGAUACCAAAGAGAGGUUUGCCAAGAUCAAAACAGGGGCAAAAGGAAAAAAUUCUCUGCUAAUAUUUAACUGUUCUACAUCCAUGAUUGUAGUUGCAACUGUAAUUUCUUUUUUGUCUAUAUCUGGCGAAAUGGCGAUAUUAGAGAUCUCAAUUAGGGCCUUGUUUUUCUACCAAUGUCCCAGGUUCUCCACCUUUUUUUUCUUUCUGCAAUUUUUCUUAUGUAUAACUGCUAAAUAAAUGUAUCAUGUGUGGUGAGGAUAUGAAUCAGUGCAUUUCAAAUUCCCUGGAACCUUUUCUCUAUGAAACCAGUCACUAAAUAAAUAUGCCUUUUUCUGUGAUGGUUUGGUAUGGUCUAUCCUCAUUGUGUUUCCAUUGGAAAUGUCUGAUGCUAUACUUAGAUAGAUUAGAUGUAAUGCUUGGUGUCAUGUGUGAGAGGAUACUGAAGGAAGAGCGCAUUUGACUUUGUUGCUCUAUACCUAUAUCUAUUUCAAGAUACUGCUUUCUCCUUUUAAAUUAUUGCUAAACUAACAUUGUACAGUGUAAGAGGGGAGCACUCACUGUAGUGACAUAUGUCCCAAUAUUUCCUACUUGCUUAUCUAUUACAUUUUCUAUAUAUAUGUUGUGUAUUUCAAGCAUGCAUGAAACAUAUACUGUACAACAAGGCAUAAGUCUAGACUUCUUAUCUAACUUAACUCUGGUUAACCAUAGAGGUAAAGACUAUUUCUUCUGCUUGCAGUUCCCUAAAACAUAUCGGUGGUGGCGGUGGCAAGGACAACCGCCAAGAGAAUGGUCUUCUACUAGAUGGAAGUGCCAUUGCCAAGUUCUCGCCCCUUAUACAGUGGCACAGGAACUUGAGAUCACCUUGACCUCGUGUUUUCAGAGCUGAGAAAUUUGAGGUAGACUACAAUUUUACAUAUAGUGCUGUGAAAGACUGGGCUGCUGGAAGAGAAAGAAAUGGUCCAGUUAGAUGAUGUUGUGCCAGAUCCAAAAUUACUACGAGAUGUUGGGCUACUAGGACUCCGGCAAGGACAUUGGCACCUUCACAGCGGCAUGGCAGUAGUCUGCAAAAUUCUAAACUUAGAUUUCUCUAUAGCCCUAGCACAGUGUAGUCUUUUUUCGCAACCCUAUUGACCUAUUUGGAUGGAAUUGAGAUUGUGAAUCUUGUAUUAAAUGAGUGGAUCUUUGAAAAAGUGUGGAUUUGUUUGCUAUUUUGUUGUAUAUAAAAUCAGUGAUCUAAGUUUUAUCUUUUUUA